rnacentral:rRNA from 1 species
GACGAACGCUGGCGGCGUGCUUAACACAUGCAAGUCGAACGGAAAGGCCCUGCUUUUGUGGGGUGCUCGAGUGGCGAACGGGUGAGUAACACGUGAGUAACCUGCCCUUGACUUUGGGAUAACUUCAGGAAACUGGGGCUAAUACCGGAUAGGAGCUCCUGCUGCAUGGUGGGGGUUGGAAAGUUUCGGCGGUUGGGGAUGGACUCGCGGCUUAUCAGCUUGUUGGUGGGGUAGUGGCUUACCAAGGCUUUGACGGGUAGCCGGCCUGAGAGGGUGACCAGCCACAUUGGGACUGAGAUACGGCCCAGACUCCUACGGGAGGCAGCAGUGGGGAAUAUUGCACAAUGGGCGGGAGCCUGAUGCAGCAACGCCGCGUGCGGGAUGACGGCCUUCGGGUUGUAAACCGCUUUCGCCUGUGACGAAGCGUGAGUGACGGUAAUGGGUAAAGAAGCACCGGCUAACUACGUG